GUGCUCAUUUCAACAGUACAUACACUAAAAUUGGAACAAUACAGAGAUUAGCAUGGUCCCUGCACAAGGAUGACACGCAAAUUUGUGAAGCGUUCCAUAUUUUU
rfam:Pteropus alecto contig21541, whole genome shotgun sequence.